rnacentral:misc_RNA from 1 species
AACGAGGCCGACCUGCGGCUGAGUUACCUGCGGAGGGAUCAUUAUCGCAUCUUCAGGCGGAGGCGGGCGAUCCCAGCUCUGGGCCCCAAUCGGCCCGUGCAGCGGGGUCCCCGUCGACGUCCAAAACCUUUGCUAAACCCAACUGUGCACCUUUGCGGUGGAAGGCUGGCAACGGCCCGACACCGCCUCACUAAACACUGUCACAAACGAAUGUUCAAGCGACGCUUUGCGUUGCCUAAU